rnacentral:lncRNA from 10 species
CAUAACCAAAUCCUGCAGGUAGAUGUGCUCUUGAGUGAACUCACGGUGGUGUCCCUAUAGUGAAAUUAGCAUUUUCUCAAAAGAUUAUUAUUAUUAUUGAGAUGGAGUCUCGUUCUGUCUCCCAGGCUGGAGUGCAGUAACGCGAUCUUGGCUCACUGCACUUCUGCCUCCCGGGUUCAAGGGAUUUUCCUGCCUCAGUCUCCAGAGUAACUGUGAUUACAGGCACCUGCCAGCAUGCCCGGCUAGUUUUUUUGUACUUUUAGUAGAGACGGGGUUUCACCAUGUUGGCCAGGCUGGUCUCAAACUCCUAACCUCAGGCGAUCCGCCUGCCCGGCCUCCCAAAAUGCUGGGAUUACAGGCAUGAGCCACCGCGCCCAGAUAUUUUAAAUUAUACAUAAUUUCAUUCAUGUUAGCUAGUUAAUACAAUAGGACCAAAAUCUAUAUAUUAACAGGGAUUUGGAUGAAUUAAAUGUGAAAUAAAAAUCAUAGUUAUUAUAGGGGAUUCCCAUAUAUAUUUUAUGUGCAUAUAUGCAUCUAUUUGAUUACUAUCUAUAUUGUGUGUCUGCACAAAUAUAUAUUUUAUAUUAUCUUAUAUAAUAUAUAUUUACAUAUCUAUAUAAUCACACAUGAUAUAUAUAAUUUCUAUGUAAUUAUACAUUAUAUAUUAUAUUAUAUAAUAUAGAAGUAUAUGUUAUAAUAUAUUAUAUAAUAUAAAAGUAUAUAUUAUAAUAUAUACUUCUAGACUAUGUCCUAAACUCUCAUUU